rnacentral:tRNA from 1 species
GGGGACAUGGUCUAGUGGUAUGACGGAUCCUUAGCACGGUCAAGCCGGCUGAAUUGGAUCAGGUCCGGGGUUCGAUUCCCCGUGUCUCCA